UACGUAGGGUGCGAGCGUUUGUCCGGAAUUAUUGGGCGUAAAGGGCUCGUAGGCGGUUUGUCGCGUCGGGGGUGAAAUCCACUGGCUUAACUGGUGGCUUGCUUUCGAUACGGGCAGACUGGAGGUAUGCAGGGGAGAACGGAAUUCCUGGUGUAGCGGUGAAAUGCGCAGAUAUCAGGAGGAACACCGGUGGCGAAUGCGGUUCUCUGGGCAUGUCCUGACGCUGAGGAGCGAAAGUGUGGGGAGCGAACAGG
rnacentral:rRNA from 1 species